AGCGGGGUAGGGAAGCCAGGAGUACCCGAUGGGCUCAUAACCCAUAGAUCGGAGGUUCAAAUCCUCCCCCCGCUA
rnacentral:tRNA from 1 species